rnacentral:rRNA from 1 species
UACAGAGACCUCAAGCGUUAUCCGGAAUCAUUGGGCGUAAAGCGUACCGAUAGGUGGUUUUGAUAGUUUUGGGUAAAAGCCAGAAGCUCAACUUCUGCGUUUGCUCAAAAUACUUCAAGACUAGAGGGGCAAAGAGGUGCUUGGAACGAAUGGUGUAGUAGUGAAAUGCGUUGAUAUCAUUCGGAACACCGAAAGCGAAGGCAGAGCACUGGGUGCCACCUGACACUGCUAGGACGAGAGCGUGGGUAGCGAAUGGG